rnacentral:rRNA from 1 species
AUUUGCUGACGAGUGGCGCACGGGUGCGUAACGCGUAUACAAUCUGCCUUUAAGCGGGGAAUAGCCCAUGGAAACGUGGAUUAAUACCCCAUAGUAUGUAGACUUCACCUGGAGAUUACAUUAAACAUUUAUGGCUUAAAGAUGAGUAUGCGUCCUAUUAGUUAGUUGGUAAGGUAACGGCUUACCAAGACCGCGAUAGGUAGGGGUCCUGAGAGGGAGAUCCCCCACACUGGUACUGAGACACGGACCAGACUCCUACGGGAGGCAGCAGUGAGGAAUAUUGGACAAUGGAGGCAACUCUGAUCCAGCCAUGCCGCGUGCAGGAAGACGGCCCUAUGGGUUGUAAACUGCUUUUAUACGGGAAGAACCACAUCUACGUGUAGAUGCUUGACGGUACCGUAUGAAUAAGGACCGGCUAACUCCGUGCCAGCAGCCGCGGUAAUACGGAGGGUCCAAGCGUUAUCCGGAAUCAUUGGGUUUAAAGGGUCCGUAGGCGGGAUAAUAAGUCAGUGGUGAAAGUCUGCAGCUCAACUGUAGAAUUGCCAUUGAUACUGUUGUUCUUGAAUUAUUAUGAAGUGGUUGGAAUGAGUAGUGUAGCGGUGAAAUGCAUAGAUAUUACUCAGAACACCUAUUGCGAAGGCAGAUCACUAAUAAUAUAUUGACGCUGAGGGACGAAAGCGUAGGUAGCGAACAGGAUUAGAUACCCUGGUAGUCUACGCCGUAAACGAUGGUUACUAGCUGUUCGGCUCGAUUGAGAGCUGAGUGGUUAAGCGAAAGUGAUAA